CUGAACUGCUCAGAGCGGGUGUGAGCGUCGAGUGGAGCAAACUAACAGAGUUAGUGGGUGUCUGAGGAGGAAUGGAGCCAGCGGAGUGGGCAGGGAGGCUUAAUAAAGACACAGUGCAAGUCAUGGACCCCAAAUAACAAGGUACCGGUCUUGUGUUUGCAGAGAACGAGCCGCAGAAGUCUGGAUUUCUCCCUUCGCCAGGCCCGAGGAUACUAGAAGAUGAGAUUUUGCAGGUGGGAAAUUCAAACCAAACAUCACACUAGAGUCUGCAAGAAUCACUCGAUUCAUCAGGACCUGGAUAUUAUCGAUCUCUGAGUAUACCAGCGCCUAUUGUGACCCCCAGUUGCCUGUGGAGAAGAUGAUGUUUGACCUUGUUGAACCGCUGCAGUCCGUGUGGUGAAGGUGCUCCCACAAUGCUGUUAGGGUAUUAGAAGAGGAGGAUUUGCAGUUGAGAAACUAAAACCAAACAUCACAUCAGGAGCUGACAGAGUCGCCCAAUUUAUCGUAACCUGAAUAUCAUCGGAUUUUGAACAUGGAAGGAAAAAGCACUGUUCACAGUGGGGAGAAACCGUACACGUGUUCUGUGUGUGGACGAGGCUUCAGCCGAUCAUCUGGCCUGUCCAGACACAAGCGCAGUCACACUGGGGAGAGUCCGUGGAAAUGUGGGGAGUGUGGGAAGGGAUUUAGAACCCCAUCUGAGCUGGAAACUCAUCAACGCACUCACACUGGGGAGAGACCAUUUACCUGCUCCGAGUGUGGAAAGGGAUUCACUCAGUCAUCCAAACUCCUGAGACACCAGCGAGUUCACACUGGGGAGAGACCUUUUAAAUGCCCAGACUGUGGAACGUGCUAUAAAAGCUCCUGGGAUCUGAUGUCCCAUCAACGUGUUCACACUGAUGAGAGACCGUUCAGCUGCUCUCAGUGUGGGACUGGGUUCAGGUGGUCAUCUCAACUCACUGCACACCAGCGCACUCACACUGGGGAGAGGCCGUUCACCUGUCCUCAGUGUGGAAUGAGAUUCACUGAUUCCUCCACCCUGCUGACACACCAGCAACUUCAUGAGUAACGACAGUGAUUGGAUUUUGCUGUUAAAGACAUCCAGGACUGAACCGUGUGCAUUGGGGUCUGAUUCUGCUGAUGUUAAUAAACUCCAGCCCAGUUAUAGACCUUAAUAUUCCGGCUAAAAGUCAAAUAAAUCAGCUUUGAUCAGCUUCAGCCCAUCAUCUUUCAUGUUGAGACACAAGUGCAGUCACACUGGGGAGAAACUGUUGAAAUAUAGGGAGUGUGGGAAAGGAUUCAAUUACCCAUCCCAGCUGGAAAUUCAGUGACACAGUCACACUGGGGAGAGACCAUUCAUCUGCAUCCAGUGUGGGAAGGGAUUCACUCAUUCAUCUCUCCUGCUGAGACACCAGCGAGUUCACACUGGGGAGAGACCUUUCACCAGCAUCCAGUGUGGGAAGUGCCAUAGAGAUUCUGUGGAAAUGAUGUCUCAUUAAGAUUCUCAAACUGAAAAGAGACCUUUUAAAUGUCCAGACUGUGGGAAGUGUUAUAAAUGUUCAGGGAACUGAUGCACCAUCAUCAUGUUCACACUGGGAGAAACCAUUUACCAACUCUGAGUGUGGGAAGGGAUUCACUCAAUCAUCCCCCCCUGCUGACACACCAGUGAGUUCACUUUGGGGAGAGACCGUUCACCUGCUUCAUGUGUGGAAAAGGUUUCACUACCUCAACUCACCUGCUAAGACACCAGCGAGUUCACAAGUAACCACAGUGAUUGGGUUUUGCUGUUAAUCACACCCAGGACUGAAUCUUGUUCAUUGGGGUCUAUUUCUGCUGAUGUUAAUAAACUCUAGCACAGUUUUAGGG